rnacentral:rRNA from 1 species
CACGUAGGGGGCAAGCGUUGUCCGGAUUUAUUGGGCGUAAAGAGCUCGUAGGCGGUUCGGUAAGUCGGGUGUGAAACCUCCAGGCUCAACCUGGAGAUGCCACCUGAUACUGCUGUGACUCGAGUCCGGUAGGGGAGCGUGGAAUUCCUGGUGUAGCGGUGGAAUGCGCAGAUAUCAGGAGGAACACCGGUGGCGAAGGCGGGUCUCUGGGCAGUAACUGACGCUGAGGAGCGAAAGCGUGGGGAGCGAACAGG